CGGGGGGAGCAAGCGUUGUUCGGAUUUACUGGGCGUAAAGGGCGCGUAGGCGGCCUCCGCAAGUUAGUUGUGAAAUCUCCGAGCUUAACUCGGAAAGGUCAACUGAUACUGCGGGGCUAGAGUGCGGAAGGGGCAACUGGAAUUCUUGGUGUAGCGGUGAAAUGCGUAGAUAUCAAGAGGAACACCUGCGGCGAAGGCGGGUUGCUGGGCCGACACUGACGCUGAGGCGCGAAAGCUAGGGGAGCGAACGGGAUUAGAUACCCCGGUAGUCCUAGCCUUAAACGAUGAAUGCUUGGUGUCUGGGGUUAUAUAGUCCCCGGGUGCCGUCGCUAACGCUUUAAGCAUUCCGCCUGGGGAGUACGGUCGCAGGACUG
rnacentral:rRNA from 1 species